GACGAACGUUUGCGGCGUGCUUAACACAUGCAAGUCGAACGGAAAGGCCCUGCUUUUGUGGGGUGCUCGAGUGGCGAACGGGUGAGUAACACGUGAGUAACCUGCCCUUGACUUUGGGAUAACUUCAGGAAACUGGGGCUAAUACCGGAUAGGAGCUCCUGCUGCAUGGUGGGGGUUGGAAAGUUUCGGCGGUUGGGGAUGGACUCGCGGCUUAUCAGCUUGUUGGUGGGGUAGUGGCUUACCAAGGCUUUGACGGGUAGCCGGCCUGAGAGGGUGACCGGCCACAUUGGGACUGAGAUACGGCCCAGACUCCUACGGGAGGCAGCAGUGGGGAAUAUUGCACAAUGGGCGGAAGCCUGAUGCAGCAACGCCGCGUGCGGGAUGACGGCCUUCGGGUUGUAAACCGCUUUCGCCUGUGACGAAGCGUGAGUGACGGUAAUGGGUAAAGAAGCACCGGCUAACUACGUGCCAGCAGCCGCGGUGAUACGUAGGGUGCGAGCGUUGUCCGGAUUUAUUGGGCGUAAAGGGCUCGUAGGUGGUUGAUCGCGUCGGAAGUGUAAUCUUGGGGCUUAACCCUGAGCGUGCUUUCGAUACGGGUUGACUUGAGGAAGGUAGGGGAGAAUGGAAUUCCUGGUGGAGCGGUGGAAUGCGCAGAUAUCAGGAGGAACACCAGUGGCGAAGGCGGUUCUCUGGGCCUUUCCUGACGCUGAGGAGCGAAAGCGUGGGGAGCGAACAGGCUUAGGUACCCUGGUAGUCCACGCUGUAAACGGUGGGUACUAGGUGUGGGGUCCAUUCCACGGGUUCCGUGCCGUAGCUAACGCUUUAAGUACCCCGCCUGGGGAGUACGGCCGCAAGGCUAAAACUCAAAGGAAUUGACGGGGCCCCGCACAAGCGGCGGAGCAUGCGGAUUAAUUCGAUGCAACGCGUAGAACCUUACCUGGGUUUGACAUGGAUCGGGAGUGCUCAGAGAUGGGUGUGCCUCUUUUGGGGUCGGUUCACAGGUGGUGCAUGGCUGUCGUCAGCUCGUGUCGUGAGAUGUUGGGUUAAGUCCCGCAACGAGCGCAACCCUUGUUCACUGUUGCCAGCACGUUAUGGUGGGGACUCAGUGGAGACCGCCGGGGUCAACUCGGAGGAAGGUGGGGAUGACGUCAAGUCAUCAUGCCCCUUAUGUCCAGGGCUUCACGCAUGCUACAAUGGCUGGUACAGAGAGUGGCGAGCCUGUGAGGGUGAGCGAAUCUCGGAAAGCCGGUCUCAGUUCGGAUUGGGGUCUGCAACUCGACCUCAUGAAGUCGGAGUCGCUAGUAGUCGCAGAUCAGCAACGCUGCGGUGAAUACGUUCCCGGG
rnacentral:rRNA from 1 species